UUGAAGGAAUAUCAUUUCAUAUAGCAUGCUUUGCUAAGUAUCUCUUUUUAAAUUGCAUUGCAGCAGCAUAGAUGACUGAAUGCCGCCCCCCUACUCCUCCUCCCUCCUCCCAUGGCCGUCGGUUCCCUCCUCCACCUCCGGUGGCCGCCGGCCCCAUCUCCUCCUCCGCUCGCUUGGCCGCUUCGUGGACUCUGGCCGAAGCUGCGGCAAGUCUGCCGCCGCGUCCCCCUCCUCUACGCGCCGCCGUGCAGCUGUCCGCGGGAUUUGAGGGAGCCGCCGGUCGGAUCCAGGGCGAGGAGACUCCGUCGCGCCUGCCGCAGCCUCCAUCACCGCCAUCAUAUCGUUCGCUCUCUCGCAAAGCCAAUACCACGCGCUGUCGCCGCGCACCAUCACCAUCCACGUGCUGGCCGACGAUAGGGCUUCUGCGAACCGUGAAGGACUCUGGAUGUUAUACAACAGAUCGUGCUAACACUAAUAUAGAAGUUUAGAUAUUAUGCCAGGUUGUGCUAUGAGUUAUGACAGUGUCCGUGCCUUACAUUCUAGAAGAUGUGGUACCAUGGUUGUUGAGAUCUCAAGGGAAGGAAAGUAAAAUGUGAGCUUGACAAGAAAAAUGGAUUCAUUAAGGUAACUAUCAGGUGUAGAGAAGGAUAGAAUGGCGCCAAGGCAGGCUAAGAGGUUUUAGUUCAUUGAGACGCUUGUCCGUAGCAGCGCACGGGCAUUGUACUAGUCUACAAUAAGGAAAGUUUUCUUUAGCUAAAGAUGAAAUGGCACUAAGGUUUUGUAAAAUAACCGCUUCAAUAGUGAUGUGGGUUGGGGUGGUCCGGUCUUUCGAUGA